rnacentral:lncRNA from 1 species
CUCCCCCCAUCAGUCUAGUUCACUGGGGGUUCAGUCUUAGCAGGACCCAGGGCUUCCCCUUCCACUGGUGCUCUUACUAGGAUAUUCAUUGCUACCUAUGAGGUCAGAGUCCAGGGUCAGUCCAUGUAUAGUCUUUAGGUAGUGGCUUAGUCCCUGGAAGCUCUGGUUGCUUGGCAUUGUUGUACAUAUGGGGUCUCGAGCCCCUUCAAGCUCUUCCAGUUCUUUCUCUGAUUCCUUCAACGGGGGUCCUGUUCUCAGGUCAGUGGUUUGCUGCUGGCAUUCGCCUCUGUAUUUGCUGUAUUCUGGCUGUGUCUCUCAGGAGCGAUCUACAUCCGGCUCCUGUCGGUCUGCACGUCUUUGCUUCAUCCAUCUUGUCUAAUUGGAUGGCUGUAUAUGUAUGGGCCACAUGUGGGGCAGGCUCUGAAUGGGUGUUCCUUCUGUGUCUGUUUUAAUCUUUGCCUCUCUAUUCCCUGCCAAGGGUAUUCUUGUCCCCCCCCCCUUUUUUUUUCCUUCUUUUUUUCGGAGCUGGGGACCGAACCCAGGGCCUUGUGCUUGCUAGGCAAGUGCUCUACCACUGAGCUAAAUCCCCAACCCCUCUUGUUCCCCUUUUAAAGAAGGAGUGAAGCAUUCACAUUUUGAUCAUCGUCUUGAGUUUCAUUUGUUCUAGGCAUCUAGGGCAAUUCAAGCAUUUGGGCUAAUAGCCACUUAUCAAUGAGUGCAUCAUACCAUG